rnacentral:rRNA from 1 species
CCUACGGGAGGCAGCAGUGGGGAAUAUUGGGCAAUGGGCGCAAGCCUGACCCAGCAACGCCGCGUGAAGGAAGAAGGCUUUCGGGUUGUAAACUUCUUUUCUCAGGGACGAAGCAAGUGACGGUACCUGAGGAAUAAGCUACGGCUAACUACGUGCCAGCAGCCGCGGUAAUACGUAGGUGGCAAGCGUGAUCCGGAUUUACUGGGUGUAAAGGCCGUGUAGGCGGGACAGCAAGUCAGAUAUGAAAACCAUGGGCUCAACCUGCGGCCUGCAUUUGAAACUGUUUUUCUUGAGUACUGGAGAGGCAGGCGGAAUUCCUAGUGUAGCGGUGAAAUGCGUAGAUAUUAGGAAGAACACCAGUGGCGAAGGCGGCUUACUGGACUGUAACUGACGUUGAGGCUCGAAAGCGUGGGGAGCAAACAGGAUUAGAUACCCGGGUAGUC